CCUGCUCAGGCUCCCAGGGCUAUUAUGAACAUUUUCUAAAAUUCCAGGCAUGUUGAUCUUUGCACUGUGAUUACUUUUUCAUCAAAACCCACACAGAGGGAUGUGGAGUCACCGUAAUGUGAGUGCUGCUGGGGCAGGGGGUGCCGGUCAUCCCGGAGGUGUGAGGGGCAGGUCCCUGGAGCCUGGCGUCUGGCUCCACCAGGCACUGCACCACGAGCUCCCCGUGACCCGUGAGGUGCCCUUCAAGGCAAGUGUACCUGUUGCCUGGCUCUGGCCCUUUGCCCAACCCAAUGGCUGCUUUGUGGCUGACAGGCAAGUGGAUGUAGCUGGCACCCUUGGGCCAGCCCAGCCUCCAUUUCUCCAGCUGUCCCCGGAGCCAACAUGCCUCUCCUUUGCAGUCACACGGAAGCUCUGCAGCCUGGACAACGGGGACUGUGACCAGUUCUGCCACGAGGAACAGAACUCAGUGGUGUGCUCCUGCGCCCGCGGGUACACCCUGGCUGACAACAGCAAGGCCUGCAUUCCCACAGGGCCCUACCCCUGUGGGAAACAGACCCUGGAACGCAGGAAGAGGUCAGUGGCCCAGGCCACAAACAGUAGCAGGGAGGCCCCUAACAACAUCACAUGGAAGCCGUAUGACGCAGCUGACCUGGACCCCACCGAGAACCCCUUCGACCUGCUUGACUUCAACCAGACGCAGCCCGAGAGGGGUGACAACAACCUCGUCAGGAUCGUGGGAGGCCGGGAAUGCAAGGACGGGGAGUGUCCCUGGCAGGCCCUGCUCAUCAAUGAGGAAAAUGAGGGGUUCUGUGGUGGAACCAUUCUGAGCGAGUUCUACAUCCUAACGG
rnacentral:sRNA from 1 species